rnacentral:rRNA from 1 species
CGUGUAGGCGGACUGUUAAGUCUGAUGUGAAAGCCCGGGGCUCAACCCCGGAAGUGCAUUGGAUACUGGCAGUCUUGAGUAUGGGAGAGGAAAGUGGAAUUCCGAGUGUAGGGGUGAAAUCCGUAGAUAUUCGGAGGAACACCAGUGGCGAAGGCGGCUUUCUGGACCAAUACUGACGCUGAGACGCGAAAGCGUGGAGAGCAAACA